AGUGAACGCUGGCGGUAGGCCUAACACAUGCAAGUCGAACGGCAGCACAGUAAGAGCUUGCUCUUACGGGUGGCGAGUGGCGGACGGGUGAGGAAUACAUCGGAAUCUACUUUUUCGUGGGGGAUAACGUAGGGAAACUUACGCUAAUACCGCAUACGACCUACGGGUGAAAGCAGGGGAUCUUCGGACCUUGUGCGAUUGAAUGAGCCGAUGUCGGAUUAGCUAGUUGGCGGGGUAAAGGCCCACCAAGGCGACGAUCCGUAGCUGGUCUGAGAGGAUGGUCAGCCACACUGGAACUGAGACACGGUCCAGACUCCUACGGGAGGCAGCAGAGGGGAAUAUUGGACAAAGGGCGCAAGCCUGAUCCAGCCAUACCGCGUGGGUGAAGAAGGCCUUCGGGUUGUAAAGCCCUUUUGUUGGGAAAGAAAAGCAGCAGGUUGAUACCCCGCUGUUCUGACGGUACCCAAAGAAUAAGCACCGGCUAACUUCGUG
rnacentral:rRNA from 1 species